rnacentral:rRNA from 1 species
AACGCUGGUGGCGUGCUUAACACAUGCAAGUCGAACGAGAAAGUUUCCUUCGGGAAAUUAGUAAAGUGGCGCAAGGGUGAGUAUCACGUGAAUAAUCUGCCCUCGAGAUCGGGAUAACAUGGUGAAAACUAUGCUAAUACCGGAUAAGACCACAUUUCAUAAGAAAUGCGGUAAAAGGAGUCUCAAUCUCCACUCGAGGAUGAGUUCGCGCAACAUUAGCUUGUUGGUGAGAUAAAAGCUCACCAAGGCUACGAUGUUUAGCCGGCCUGAGAGGGUGAACGGCCACACUGGAACUGAGACACGGUCCAGACUCCUACGGGAGGCAGCAGUGGGGAAUAUUGCGCAAUGGGCGAAAGCCUGACGCAGCAACGCCGUGUGAGCGAUGAAGGCUUUAGAGUCGUAAAGCUCUGUCAAAUGGGAAGAAUUUUGACGGUACCAUUAGAGGAAGCCCCGGCUAACUCCGUGCCAGCAGCCGCGGUAAUACGGAGGGGGCAAGCGUUGUUCGGAAUUAUUGGGCGUAAAGCGUAUGUAGGCGGCUAGGUAAGUCAGGCGUGCAAGCCCGUGGCUCAACCACGGAAUUGCGUUUGAUACUGCUUAGCUUGAGUACAGGAGAGGAAAGCGGAAUUCCCAGUGUAGCGGUGAAAUGCAUUGAUAUUGGGAAGAACAUCUGUGGCGAAGGCGGCUUUCUGGUCUGUUACUGACGCUGAGAUACGAAAGCCAGGGUAGCGAACGGGAUUAGAUACCCCGGUAGUCCUGGCUGUAAACGAUGGGCACUAGGUGCAGGAGGUAUCGAUCCCCUCUGUGCCGUAGCUAACGCGUUAAGUGCCCCGCCUGGGGAGUACGGUCGCAAGGCUGAACCUCAAAUGAAUGCG